CCCCUCCCCAUCCCCCCCCCCCACACACACACACACUUGUGCCAGGGACUGAGCGGUCCUGCCCUAUGAGGUUGGCUUUGAGACUACAUGAGAUUAGACAGACACAUGGGGAGAAGGGCUGGCUUCAUGACACAAGUCUGGUCGAUGAGACAAAGGCGAUGUCUGCUGAGGGUUCUCAGAAAAGAUUUGCCUUGUCCUCUUCUUCUGGUCUUGAACCUAGAUGUGCUGGCUGAAGGUACCACCUUAGGCAGUAUGUCAACAGGCUACAAAGAAUGACAUUGUUGAGUCACUGCCCCAGACUUAAACUGCCUCCCUCUGAGCUGCUUAUUAUAUGAGAAGAUAGCUGGAUUUUCUGUUACAUGCGGCUGACAUUGGUCAUUUGUUUUGGCCAUUAGGCAUCUGAACCCCUCUGUUUUUGGAGGAUUCCCUGCACUGUACCUUAUCACGAAGGGCAAAGACUGGUCCCCAUACCAGUUGGAGCUAAAACUGCCAGAUAAUUGCAUUCAAAGCCUCUCCUGCAGCUAGCGCAUAGCCCUGUGACCCAGCCACCACCAAUUAGCCUCAGAACUGCUACCAACCGAGUGUGGGAGUCUUCUGAGAUACAGCAGCUGCACACAUUUUCAGAGCUCCCGCGUGUAGAAGUGUGAUGGCCAUUUUGAAUGUCACCUUAAUUUCAACAGUGAUUGCACUGUUCUUCAACAUGGAUAAAAUAUGUAAUUCUAAGAGUCCUA